UGCCUAAGGUUAAACUUUACUUUACAAAACCCUUUAGUUCAAUUAUAAAGCCAACGACAUAGAUUAGCACUAUGGCUUGCCAAUUGCCGCAACUAGAUCUGAAUAAUGCAUAUUUACAAGGAACAUUGUAGGAACAUAUCUUAACCGCUCGGGUUCAUUGACAUGGAUAGACCUCACCAUGUGUGCAAAUUACAGAAAGCGAUUAAUGGAUUGUGACGAGCUCCACAAUUACGAUAGAAGAAGGUUGCUCCUGUGAAGUAUGGUAUUGUUCUUUCUCAACAUCAAUAUAUUCCUAAGUUAUUGGACUUUUUGUGCGAAGGACCAAUCACAGCCAUGGCGAGAUCCAACAACAAGUUGCAGCUCCAAGACAACAGCUCUAGGCAAGCUGAUGCCACACUCUACUGUAAACUUGUAGGUUCUCUCUAAUAAUUGUCAUUAACCAGACCUGAUGAAGCAUUUUCUGUUCAUAAAUUAUCUCCGGAGUUUUUUGAAGAGAGUUUAAAGAUGCUUCAAGGGUACAUAUCUGAUGCUGAAACGGGGAGCUCCCUAUUAGUCCAUGCUUACUGUGAUGCAGAUUGGGGUUGCAAUAUUAAUGAAUGGACAUCAACAUCUGCACAUGUCAAUUGAGGUUCAAAUCCCAUUUUACAGAAGUCUGAGCUACUGCAGAUAUUGUCAUUGACAUAGCAUGGAUCGCCAACUUGCUUCAAUAACUUCAUUUGAAGGUACCCCAUACACCAUUUGUUUUCACUCUCAUGUGAAGCACCUACCUCUAGAUUAUCAUUUCGUAAGGGAGUGACUUAGUUCUGGAAUACUUAUAGCAUACCUGGUCAUGGAACAAAAAUAAAAGGAAGAACUCAAAAUAUUUGCAAAAGUCACUGAGGCAUUAUAUAUAUGAAGUUCGCCUUAUAGUAUCAUACAUACCUGCCUCAAAGUCAUUCAUGGUUGAUAUAUGUAAACAUAAUAUAUUAUACUUU